rnacentral:rRNA from 1 species
GAUGAACGCUGGCGGCGUGCCUAAUACAUGCGAGUCGAGCGAACAGAUCAGGAGCUUGCUCCUCUCACGUUAGCGGCGCACGGGUGUGUCACACGUGGAUAACCUCCCUAUCAGUCUGGGAUAACUUCGGGAAACCGGCGCUUAUACCGUAUAAUCUCUUGCACCGCGUGGUUCAUUAGUGAGAUACGGUGUUUCGGUCACUUCUCGCUGGUUCGCGGCCGCAUUAGCUAGUUGGUAAGGUAACGGCUUAUCAAGGCAACGAUGCGUAGCCGACCUGAGAGGGUGAUAGGCCACACUGGAACGGAGACAGGGUCCAGACGACUAAGGGAGGCAGCAGAAGGGAACGGUACGCAAUAGGCGGAAGCCUGACGGAGUAACGCCGAGUGAGUGAUGAAGGCGCCCGGAUCGGAAAACUCGGUUAUUAGGGAAAAACAAAUGUGUAAGUUACUAUGCACGUCUUGACGGUAACUAAUAAGAAAGCAACGGCUAACUACGUG